UUAGGCCACACGAUGGGAAAGUCUCACUUUUGAUCACAAUGCUGAGGCACGUAGGACAGAACAGUCCCGACGCAGAUCGAUUCUAUCUGUGGUGGAGCGCUCCAUACUAGGUGAGGGGGUUCGCACAGGAAGGAGGUAAAGCCGGAUCUCAGCAGUCCAUGUCAAGUGAGCGAGGCGGUCCACUUGCAUUACGCCGAACCCCCUCGCAGAACGGC